rnacentral:rRNA from 1 species
UACUCGAGUGGCGAACGGGUGAGUAACACGUGGGUGAUCUGCCUUGCACUUCGGGAUAAGCCUGGGAAACUGGGUCUAAUACCGGAUAGGACCAUGCUUUAGUGUGUGUGGUGGAAAGUUUUUCGGUGCAAGAUGAGCCCGCGGCCUAUCAGCUUGUUGGUGGGGUAAUGGCCUACCAAGGCGACGACGGGUAGCCGGCCUGAGAGGGUGUACGGCCACAUUGGGACUGAGACAGGGCCCAG